rnacentral:misc_RNA from 1 species
AAAAUGUGAUAAUCAUUGUGAAUUGCAGAAUUCAAAGAAUCAAUAGAACGCUCAACGCACACGGCACUGUACUCUGUACAGUAGGUCUGUUUCAGAUUCAUUUACGAUCUCCCUAAUACAAUUACUGUUUAUGGAGUUGAGGUGCUGCUUGACCGUAUGGUUUGGCAGUCGCAGAGUUCUACGAUUGUAUACUUUCUCUAAACAUGUUCGAAAAAUGUUCAGUCAUUGUUAGUGGAAGGUGCAUAUAUUAAGUCGUAGCGCACUAUCUUAUAUGAACUGAAAUCAGUCCAGGCUACCCCCUGAAUUUAA